rnacentral:sRNA from 1 species
CUUUCAUUUGGGGCUUUAAUGUCAGUUCACCAUGAAGAGCCAUCUUGUGCUGGCCGUUGCGCUGUGCUGGUUCCCUCUUUUAUCGUUGGCAGAUAAUGGCGAAAAUAUAAGCUCCGCAAACAUGUCAAGCUUUGAAAUUUUAAAAAAGUUGACGGAUGUUACCAAAAUGAAGUGUUACCUAUAUUGGAUGUCCAGACUUGUCAAGAAUUCAGGAAGUAUAGUUUCUGAGUUGUUUAAAUGUGGCAAACAAUAUGGCGGAAAAGCAAUUCGCGUAGUGACCGCCCUCAAAGACCUUGUCGCAGGAAUGUUGCCUAUUUUUAAUUCCUGUAAGGGUGUAAUCGUUGAUGCAAUCGUCGGUGGAGCAACUUGUGUGAAAGCAUUUGCACAACAGGCAUUCUCUUUGGUGGGAUCAUUGACUAAGUUCAACAAGGAGAUGAGCAGUGAACCAAACAAUGAAUCCAGCUGCGUGAACACUGCUUUUAAGAAAUAUUUCGAAGCUUCAAGUGUUUACGAAGUCAUCGAUAGCUGUUCCCUUCCGGUUACAACAACAACUGCUAAACCUGUUACAACUACCCAGCCUCCUACUGAUAAGCCAUUCUACAAAAAAAUAAUAUCUUUAUUUGACUAAACAAUGCAUUCGAGGCUACCUGAUGAGAAGCUGUCAUUAAAAGAAUGCAUAAAGUAAAUAUACAUGCAUAAGUGUAAGAAAUCGUAUCUAUAUGGCAGAUUUAUGUGCAGAGGUUCCGAAGCAAAUCAAUUUGGGUAUGUAUGUCGCCCUGCGGGUAAUAGACUCUUUCAUUUGGAGCUUUAAUGUCAGUUCACCAUGAAGACCCAUCUUGUGCUGGCCUUUGCGCUGUGCUGGUUCCCUCUUUUAUCGUUGGCAGAUAAUGGCGAAAAAAAAAGCUCCGCAAACAUGUCAAGCUUUGAAAUUUUCAAAAAAUUGACGGAUGUUACCAAUAUGAAGUGUUACCUAUAUUGGAUGUCCAGACUUGUCAAGAAUUCAGGAAGUAUAACUUCUGAGUUGAUAAAAUGUGGCAAAAAAUAUGGUGGAAAAGCGAUGGACGCAGCGCCCGCCUUCAACGACCUUGUCGCAGGAAUCGAGCCUAUUUUUGAAUCCUGUAAGGGUGUAAUCGUGGAUGCAAUCGUCGGUGGAACAUCUUGUGUGAAAGCAUUUGUCCAAAAGGCAUACUCUUUGAUUGGAUCAUUGAAAAAGUUCAACAGCGAUGUUAACAGUGGACCAAACACUCAAUCCGGGUGCGCGAGCACGGCUUUUAAGAAAUAUUUCGAAGCUUCAAGUGUUUACGAAGUCAUCGAUAGCUGUUCCCUUCCGGUUACAACAACAACUGCUAAACCUGUUACAACUACCCAGCCUCCUACCGAUAAGCCAUUCUACAAAAAAAUAAUUUCUUUAUUUGACUAAACAAUGCAUUCGAGGCUACCUGAUGAGAAGCUCUCAUUAAAAGAAUGCAUUAAGUAAAUAUACAUACAUUAGUGUAAGAAAUCGUUUCACUAUGGUAGAUCAAUGUGCAGAUCUUCCGAAGCAAAUCUAUUUGGGUAUGUAUGUCUUUCUGCGAGCUGAAGACUCUUUCAUUUAUGGCUUAAAUGUCAGUUCACCAUGAAGACCCAUCUUGUGCUGGCCGUUGCGCUGUGCUUGUUCCCUCUUUUAUCGUUGGCAGAGGAUGAAA